UACCUGUCCAUCUACCCCAGGGUGUGGCUACAGCAUAAAUUCAGACAGAGUAGAGAGUUUCUUCAGAGGUGAACUUGUCAAGGCAACAGUUUCAGUGCUAUCACAUCACUCCUGAGAACAAUGGCAGAUACAAACCCAAGUAAGUCAUUUUGCAAAAUAUCACAUUUUUAUCCGUAACUGUUUCUAAAAUAAGCUUCUGUUUAUUCAUUUAAAAACAUGCUGUUGUUUCUCUUUUUGCAUGAAAAGCUGCUCAGGUAACUGCUUAACUUGUUUCCUUAUGAUAAAUAUGAUAUACAGUACUGUAGACAUGUAAGAAUAGCAUCCUAUGCUUUGAGAACUUUGAAGCUCAUGUAUAUUUCUGCUGCAGUGCGGUGAAAGCAAAUGCCAGGGUGAAGGCAAGGAAAAAGGGAAAGGCCAGGAGCAUGGACAUGGACAUGGACCAGGUCAGGGCAAGGGGAAAGAACAUGGAAAAGGACAUGGUCAGGGCCACGGUCACGGACAUGGUCAUGGUGGAAAAGAUGGCGCAAAGAAAGGAAACGAGGGCCCGCACUAACAACAAUGCUGAAUGAAGAGAUAUCUGAGACUGAUUAUCUUUCUCUUGUGCAAAAAUCAAUGAUAAAAUAAAACAUGUAUAACCAGCCAUAUAUAUUUGCAUUAAAUUCACUGAUGACCAAUGAAAUGUUUGUAUUAAAGACCGGCUUUUAGAA